GCCUUCAUGAAGCCGGAAUUGCUAGUAAUGGCAGGUCAGCAUACUGCCGUGAAUACGUUCCCGGGCCUUGUACACACCGCCCGUCACACCAUGAGAGUUGGGGAUACCCGAAGCCUGUGAGCUAACUAUUUAUAGGAGCAGCAGUCGAAGGUAGAAUCAAUGAUUGGGGUGAAGUCGUAACAAGGUACC
rnacentral:rRNA from 1 species